rnacentral:lncRNA from 1 species
UUUUUCUUUAUUAUAAUCCGCUUCAAAAUCUUCUCUAAUCCAAGUUUUAUCUAUUUCAAACUCUUCUUCUAAUUCUAUAACACUAAGAAUUUGUGAGGCAGUAGGAGACAUAGGAGGAGAAUCAUUUCUACCUUCAGUCUCAUAUAUAGGUUGGGGAAUAUUAGGAGUAAAAUCAACUCCUGCUAAAUUAAUAUUAAUGGUAGAAUCUAUAGAUCUUCUAGAGCUUGUACUAGCUCUACUACUAAU